GACGUAGGGGGCGAGCGUUGUCCGGAAUUACUGGGCGUAAAGAGCACGUAGGCGGGAACUUAAGUCAGGUGUGAAAGACCGGGGCUCAACCUCGGGGUGGCACUUGAAACUGGGUUUCUUGAGGGCAGGAGAGGAAAGUAGAAUUCCUGGUGUAGCGGUGAAAUGCGUAGAAAUCAGGAGGAAUACCAGUGGCGAAGGCGACUUUCUGGACUGACCCUGACGCUGAGGUGCGAAAGCGUGGGUAGCAAACAGG
rnacentral:rRNA from 1 species